UCUGGAGACAGGUGCUGCAUGGCUGUCGUCAGCUCGUGUCGUGAGAUGUUGGGUUAAGUCCCGCAACGAGCGCAACCCUUGCCUUUAGUUGCCAGCAGUUCGGCUGGGCACUCUAAAGGGACUGCCGGUGUUAAACCGGAGGAAGGUGGGGAUGACGUCAAGUCCUCAUGGCCUUUAUGACCAGGGCUACACACGUACUACAAUGGCCGAUACAAAGGGCAGCGACACUGCGAGGUGAAGCCAAUCCCGUAAAAUCGGUCUCAGUCCGGAUUGGAGUCUGCAACUCGACUCCAUGAAGUUGGAAUCGCUAGUAAUCGUGGAUCAGCAUGCCACGGUGAAUACGUUCCCGGGCCGUU
rnacentral:rRNA from 1 species